CCCUUAGACACUCUAGGCGGCACGCGCGCUACAAUGGGUGGAAGAACGUGUUACUGCCUCCGAAAGGAGGGGUGAAUCACGAAUUCUUGCCCGUGAAUGGGAUAGUUUGUUGCAAUUUUCGGACUUGAACUAGGAAUCCCUUGUAAACAUGCUCAAGAAUAGCGUGUUGAAUACGUCCCUGCCGUUUGUACACACCGCCCGUCGUUUCUUCCGACUGAUACUCAUUGUGAGUUGCAAGGACCCUUUAUUGGGAAAUUGCUGCAAAUGCUUUGUAUUGGAGGAAGAAAAGUCGUAACA
rnacentral:rRNA from 1 species